UCUUACAGCGAAGAGCAAGGUUUACUGUCAUUAAUAGAAAACCAUCUGUGCUACCUAAUGAGGUUCUAAGGAUUGGAUUCUAUGUCAAGGCUAAGGCAAAGUGGCAGUUGCUCCCUGCGUAGGUGACGUUAGGAGCCUCAACCUGUCAGCUGCUGCGUGAGGCCUGGCGUGGCAAUAACGCAAAGGCAAACUCUUAAGGAGCACUGUGGUUCUCGGUAGAUACCUGUUCUUAGGCAUUAUGAUGAUAUGGGAACAAAACAAGGUCUCCCAAGAAAGCAGAGUCGACAAGAGUCACGCCUUGAAUUGAAGAUAAAGAACGAGGGUAACUAAUGCAGAGAAAAAAUAACCACCCUCAACCAGGAGGCCACGCUGCGGAAGGAUCCAUCUCCCUGAGUUGUCGUCUCUUUACCCUAGGCUGGGUCUGGAUGUUCAGAGCAGAGUUUUAGCAGGCAUGCUUUGGAGCUCAAGAACAGGGGUCCCCAACCCCCAGGCUACAGACUGGUACCAAUUUGUGGCCUGUUAGGAACCGGGCUGCACAGCAAGAGGUGAGUGGCAGGUGAGUGAGCGAGCAUUACUGCCUGAGCCAUGCCUUCUGUCAGAUCAGCCCGCCAUUAGUUCUCGAAGGAGCAUGAACCCUAUUGUGAACUGUACAUAUGAGGGACUUAGGUUGCAUGCUCCUUAUGAGAAUCUAUACCUGAUGAUCUGAAGUGGAACAGUUUCAUCCCCAAACCACCCUUCCCCACCCCUAUACUCCCCCUAAUCCCUGUCCGUGGAAAAAUUAUCUUCCAUGAAACUGGUCUCUGGUGCCAAAAAGGAUGAGGAACGCUG